rnacentral:rRNA from 1 species
CAUGAGUGGCGGACGGGUGAGUAACGCGUGGGCAACCUGGCCUGUACAGGGGGAUAACACUUAGAAAUAGGUGCUAAUACCGCAUAACGGGGGAAGCCGCAUGGCUUUUCCCUGAAAACUCCGGUGGUACAGGAUGGGCCCGCGUCUGAUUAGCCAGUUGGCAGGGUAACGGCCUACCAAAGCGACGAUCAGUAGCCGGCCUGAGAGGGCGGACGGCCACACUGGGACUGAGACACGGCCCGGACUCCUACGGAAGGCAGCAG